rnacentral:rRNA from 1 species
AGUCGAGCGAGCUUGCCUAGAUGAUUUUAGUGCUUGCACUAAAUGAAACUAUAUACAAGCGAGCGGCGGACGGGUGAGUAACACGUGGGUAACCUGCCCAAGAGACUGGGAUAACACCUGGAAACAGAUGCUAAUACCGGAUAACAACACUAGACGCAUGUCUAGAGUUUGAAAGAUGGUUCUGCUAUCACUCUUGGAUGGACCUGCGGUGCAUUAGCUAGUUGGUAAGGUAACGGCUUACCAAGGCAAUGAUGCAUAGCCGAGUUGAGAGACUGAUCGGCCACAUUGGGACUGAGACACGGCCCAAACUCCUACGGGAGGCAGCAGUAGGGAAUCUUCCACAAUGGACGAAAGUCUGAUGGAGCAACGCCGCGUGAGUGAAGAAGGGUUUCGGCUCGUAAAGCUCUGUUGGUAGUGAAGAAAGAUAGAGGUAGUAACUGGCCUUUAUUUGACGGUAAUUACUUAGAAAGUCACGGCUAACUACGUGCCAGCAGCCGCGGUAAUACGUAGGUGGCAAGCGUUGUCCGGAUUUAUUGGGCGUAAAGCGAGUGCAGGCGGUCCAAUAAGUCUGAUGUGAAAGCCUUCGGCUCAACCGGAGAAUUGCAUCAGAAACUGUUGAACUUGAGUGCAGAAGAGGAGAGUGGAACUCCAUGUGUAGCGGUGGAAUGCGUAGAUAUAUGGAAGAACACCAGUGGCGAAGGCGGCUCUCUGGUCUGCAACUGACGCUGAGGCUCGAAAGCAUGGGUAGCGAACAGGAUUAGAUACCCUGGUAGUCCAUGCCGUAAACGAUGAGUGCUAAGUGUUG